rnacentral:rRNA from 1 species
GACGAACGCUGGCGGCGUGCUUAACACAUGCAAGUCGAACGGAAAGGCCCUGCUUUUGUGGGGUGCUCGAGUGGCGAACGGGUGAGUAACACGUGAGUAACCUGCCCUUGACGUUGGGAUAACUUCAGGAAACUGGGGCUAAUACCGGAUAGGAGCUCCUGCUGCAUGGUGGGGGUUGGAAAGUUUCGGCGGUUGGGGGUGGACUCGCGGCUUAUCAGCUUGUUGGUGGGGUAGUGGCUUACCAAGGCUUUGACGGGUAGCCGGCCUGAGAGGGUGACCGGCCACAUUGGGACUGAGAUACGGCCCAGACUCCUACGGGAGGCAGCAGUGGGGAAUAUUGCACAAUGGGCGGAAGCCUGAUGCAGCAACGCCGCGUGCGGGAUGACGGCCUUCGGGGUGUAAACCGCUUUCGCCUGUGACGAAGCGUGAGUGACGGUAAUGGGUAAAGAAGCACCGGCUAACUACGUG